UACGGGGGGGGCAAGCGUUGUUCGGAAUUACUGGGCGUAAAGGGCUCGUAGGCGGCCAACUAAGUCAGACGUGAAAUCCCUCGGCUUAACCGGGGAACUGCGUCUGAUACUGGAUGGCUUGAGGUUGGGAGAGGGAUGCGGAAUUCCAGGUGUAGCGGUGAAAUGCGUAGAUAUCUGGAGGAACACCGGUGGCGAAGGCGGCAUCCUGGACCGGCACUGACGCUGAGGAGCGAAAGCCAGGGGAGCAAACGGG
rnacentral:rRNA from 1 species